UUGAAAUAGACAAGAUUAAACUUUUUUACCUCUGGCCCCUAAUAUCCCUAGUUAGGUAACGCAUGAGAAAAUCAUUAUAUUGUAAGGAUAUAUAAACGUAUUAUACCUAAAGUCUGUCCCAAGAUAUUUUUGCCACACAUUCUCUUAAAUUAUUUGAUAUUUGUAAAUAUCUCUUGAUUCAGACGAUGUUCAUUCGAUAGUAUGAAAAAAUCCCAAGAUUUCCCUUUUGAAACGCCCCCUCUAGCUUGUCAGGUUUUAAUACACGGCUAAAAAAAAGAACGUCUACGGGGAUUAUGCAUUGCAUCAGCCAUUAUAAAGCCCGGAUGAUAACUUUAAAAAAUUGUGCUAGAUAUUCCGAAAGACUUCCGAAUUGAGGAAAGAUGUAAACAUUCCCCAUUAUAAAUAUCCGUAGGAAAUCUGUUUUCGAUCCUGUGAAUGUUUACGAAGGAAAAAUGGUAAUUUGUAAAUGAAGUUUGACCCCUAAAAACGUUAUUACCUAAUUACGUAACACAUGUUAAAAUCAAUAGAUUUCUUGGAUACAUAACAGUUGAGAUCGACACAAAAUUUUAAAUUUUGUUUAAUUCAUGUGAUUUUGAAUGACAACAGUUGUGAAUGGAAUUGGAGAUCAUUGUGGAGAAUAAGCAGGUAUUGAAAAUAAUUAAUGCACAUGAUCAUGCACAUGACAAAUAAAGUGUCUUACACAUGUAAAUCUUAAUGUUAAAGCUGCUUGGUCCGAUUUUCAAUAAAAUAAUUGUACGCUUUUAAACGAUGGUUAUGCUAAGUAUUUGUGCAAUAAUAUACGUUGCAGUACAUGUAGUUUUCCCUGUCAAUUAAGCCAUAUUUCAAUGAAAAAAUUAUGUACAUGUUGAAACUCGUUGAAUCCGGAUGUUGUUUAUUACGGCAUGCUGCCCAAUCCGGCGACAUUAUUCAGCCCGUUGACAUUUUCCCAUCAUUUUUGUUUAAAAAAAAUUUGUGCAAUCCGGAUCCUAUCUAUUCUCUUAACUGGCGCAAUGAAAAAGCCUACUGCAUAUUAUUAGUGAGAGUUAUCUCCCGUAGUCCGUCCACUUAUCGAUCGAUCGGCCUUCUGCGAGAUAUUGACCAAUUUUUCUGACGUUGUUAUUGAUUUAAACAACUCUUAAUAUAGAUCCAAAGAAGCAACUUUUUUCAGUUAAUACCGUAAAGUCUUGUUAUGAAUUGCAAUUGAAUAAUUAGAUUAUAGUUCACCCAAUUUUUUUCAGGCCGUGAUUCAGGAUACUGCGGGAGUAAGACUGCCGAUAUCGUUUGUUAUCCCCGUUGCAUGGCUACACGUAAAUCGGAUGUUUGAAAGAUUAUCAAUAACGACGAUUUAAUUCAAGGAUUUCCAUCAACCACCCUCCGCCGGAUUAGACAAGUUUUGUUGUGUAUUCGCAAAAUAAUCGACAUAAAAGGGUUUUGCGUUAUUUCGCCGCGUGUUUAAACUGGCCCCUUACGUCGAAGCUAGUAUGAUUGUAUUACGACUUUGACAUCUGUU